rnacentral:misc_RNA from 1 species
GAUGAAGAACGUAGCGAAAUGCGAUACGUAAUGUGAAUUGCAAAUUCAGUGAAUCAUCGAGUCUUUGAACGCACAUUGCGCCCCCUGGUAUUCCGGGGGGCAUGCCUGUCCGAGCGUCAUUGCUGCCCUCAAGCACGGCUUGUGUGUUGGGCCCCGUCCUCCGAUCCCGGGGGACGGGCCCGAAAGGCAGCGGCGGCACCGCGUCCGGUCCUCGAGCGUAUGGGGCUUUGUCACCCGCUCUGUAGGCCCGGCCGGCGCUUGCCGAUCAACCCAAAUUUUUAUCCAGGUUGACCUCGGCUCAGGUAGGGAUACCCGCUGAACUUAAGCAUAUCAAUAAGCGGAGGA